UACGUAGGGAGCAAGCGUUGUCCGGAAUCAUUGGGCGUAAAGCGCGCGUAGGUGGCCCCAUAAGUCCGCUGUGAAAGUCAAAGGCUCAACCUUUGAAAGCCGGUGGAUACUGUGGGACUAGAGUACGGAAGAGGCGAGUGGAAUUCCUGGUGUAGCGGUGGAAUGCGCAGAUAUCAGGAGGAACACCAUAGCGAAGGCAGCUCGCUGGGACGUUACUGACACUGAGGCGCGAAAGCGUGGGGAGCGAACGGAUUA
rnacentral:rRNA from 1 species